GAUGAACGCUAGCGGCAGGCUUAAUACAUGCAAGUCGAGGGGCAACAGGGGUAGCAAUACUCGCUGGCGACCGGCAAACGGGUGCGGAACACGUACAGAACCUUCCUUUAAGUGGGGAAUAGCCCAGAGAAAUUUGGAUUAAUACCCCGUAACAUUAUGGAGUGGCAUCACUUUAUAAUUAUAGAUUCAUCGCUUAAAGAUGGCUGUGCGGCUGAUUAGGUAGUUGGCGGGGUAACGGCCCACCAAGCCUGCGAUCAGUAACUGGUGUGAGAGCACGACCAGUCACACGGGCACUGAGACACGGGCCCGACUCCUACGGGAGGCAGCAGUAAGGAAUAUUGGUCAAUGGACGCAAGUCUGAACCAGCCAUGCCGCGUGGAGGAUGAAGGUCCUCUGGGAUUGUAAACUUCUUUUAUCUGGGAAGAAACCCAUGUUUUCUAAUGUGGUUGACGGUACCAGAUGAAUAAGCACC
rnacentral:rRNA from 1 species